rnacentral:rRNA from 1 species
GAUCCUGGCUACAGAACGAACGCUGGCGGCAGGCCUAACACAUGCAAGUCGAGCGCCCCGCAAGGGGAGCGGCGGACGGGUGAGUAACGCGUGGGAACGUACCCUUUGCUACGGAAUAGCCUCGGGAAACUGGGAGUAAUACCGUAUGUGCCCUUCGGGGGAAAGAUUUAUCGGCAAAGGAUCGGCCCGCGUUGGAUUAGGUAGUUGGUGGGGUAAUGGCCUACCAAGCCGACGAUCCAUAGCUGGUUUGAGAGGAUGAUCAGCCACACUGGGACUGAGACACGGCCCAGACUCCUACGGGAGGCAGCAGUGGGGAAUCUUAGACAAUGGGCGCAAGCCUGAUCUAGCCAUGCCGCGUGAGCGAUGAAGGCCUUAGGGUUGUAAAGCUCUUUCAGUGGGGAAGAUAAUGACUGUACCCACAGAAGAAGCCCCGGCUAACUCCGUG